rnacentral:pre_miRNA from 1 species
UUAGCUCAUAUUUGUAUGGAAUGGGAUCGUUUGCCUACGUUUGCCGUCAGGGGCGCUGUUCUAACUGCAUACAAAAUUGGGUUA